UGCUCCCUCAGUGCUGUUCUCCUCAGCUUCUCUCUCAACACUCUUGGAUUCACUCACUGGGCCCCUCUGAAACUCCCCAUUUCCCUCCAGGGCUGGUCCCUCUUGGUUCUCCCUCAUGGUUGUUUCUCCUCUCCCGCAGCCCUGCUCACCCCUAUUUUGGCUGUCCCCUCACAGAAUGAUUUCCUUUUCUCCCUUCUUCUUGCCCCCUCUGUCACCAUCUCACAGGAAUCCUGUCACCUCUCCAGGAGCUUUUCCCAAAGAACUCGUGAGCAACCAGGAAAAGCCUAUUCAGAGCUGGAGUAAAACAAGAUCUACCACCACUGCUUUAUAUCCUAUUUAAAUCUGGGAGAAGCUUUUUUUUCCAUGUAAUGGAUGACCGCUCAACACAGGACCCAUGCAAAGCCCUUUUGUAGCCCUGAUUCAGCAGUGUGAGCACUCACACCAUUGUGAAGCUUGUUUUUGAGGCCAGUUCAGUUGACACAGGGUUCAGGUAAGUUCAAACAAGCAGUAAUUUAGAGAUCUGUGUGAUAGCUCUGUGCACUCUUUGGUAGGACAUCCCUGCUAUUCAUGUGCUGGAGAGAAGAAGAGUCUCCAGGCUUGGUUUAUUCUAGAAAUAGAUAUUAUUUUCCUCUGUGCAGCAGUAAUUUUUGAUCAGGGAGAGUGUGCAGAGCUGCUAUCAAAAGUUUUUAUGAGGGAAAAGCUCCAUGGGCAUCUGUUAUUUUUGGUCAGGACGUGACAGAGAGAGAAACGGCUGCAAAUGGACCCUGAUCCUCCCGUGGGAGCCCUGGGAGGAGUCAGAAGAGAGGGAAUGCUGAGACUGGAAGAUUUUAUGGCAGGUGGGACGAGGCAGCUGAGUUCUGGCAGGGGAGAUAAGCCAGGCUCCCGAAGGUUCCUUGGAGCAAGGGAAAAACUUCACUCCUGGGGUUGGAUUAGUCACAACAUUUCAUGGGCAGACAGGCACGGGUGUUAUUGUUGUUGUUUUCUUCCCAGCGUGGGAGUUUGACAUUGUUUCCAUUCAUCCACACGUGAGAGGAGCAGAGGGAGAGAAACACAAAGUGUUGUGUGCAUUUUAGUGGGAGUAGCAUUCCACCAGAACAGCAUUCCAUCUUUAGAUCUUGUGGCACUAUCGUGGUGCUAGUUGAGUAUCUUCCACAAAACCAACACAAACAGCAGAGCUGGGAGUCAAGUGGGAUGUUCCCCUCACAAGAAAGGACAUCAGCAGAAGGGGUUUGCAGUGUUUUCCAGAGGUUUGGAUGUACCUGCUCUCCAAAGGGAUGUUUAGAGGCUGGGUAACCCAGGCUGCAAAUGCUUUGUCUGCAGCUCUUUCCGAGGCCUCCUGGAGUGCUUUGUCCUGGAGGAAUGCGGCUGCCACAGCAGCUCCCAGAUGGAGAAUCCGCGUUUGAUGUGGCUGUGGAUUCAAUCCGCUGCCUUGGGAUGCAAGCCAAGGCCUUUUGCAGGAAUGAGGAGCUGCCUCCGAGCCAGGAGAGGCUCUGGAAGCUUCCACAGCAGGUCUCAUUUUCUUACUCAAGUAGCCUUUUCUGGAAAUACUUAAAUGCUGCCCAUCAGUGAGAAAGAGUGGCUGGGAGCUGAGCAGAUCCCUGAGUGGUUGUCCUGAAUUUUUGAAUUCUGAAUGUCUCAGAAGACUCAUUAUUACUAUCCAAAAAUAGCCAGAUGGCACAAACCAGGAAAGCCAAAUAAUUCAUCAUGCCACAUUCAGGCUGGACUGGCCCCUGGGUGAAGCCAGGGUGGUGGAAAAUCUUUUCAUGCUGCUGCAGGCAGGAGAGUUUCUUCCUUUGUGGUGUGGAAGAGUUUUGGACCUGUGUUGGAUGUCACAAGGCCAAAGUGCUCAGCAGAUGUAAAAUAUGAGGAUCUGGUUAUGAUCAUCAUUAAAACCAAUCUGCAGGCAAAGCACCAGGAACUGCUAAUUGGACAACUGAAGAAACACUCAAUAGCUCCAGAGUUUCUGAAUCUUUGAGCUCCGCUGCCCUGUGCAAAUAAAACAGCCUAAAUUCUGCAAAAAAUGACAUUAAAACUGAUAAAUAGGAUUAUGAGAACAUUUAUUCUUUGUGCCACCUGUGCCAGUCUUCAACACAGCACAACUUUUGUAUUCUUUAGUCUGAAAUGUUGAUAUGAUCUCAUAGAACAAGAUCAGAUUAAUGGAUCAGCUUCCCUCUCAGUGUCAGCCAAGCAGAGACUGCUUAUUCUUUUAUGUACUUCAGAAAAUGGACAUAAAUUUUCCAUUUUCUGAAGUUGAAAACACUUCUUGAGACCAGACAUGAGAAAGUAUUUCUGCUUUCUGCAGUAUGUGAGCACAGACCUCUCUGAAAAUAAGUGACUUGCUCGGGAUCACACAGAAAAUCAAUAUUGCUGAGGAAAAGCCAUUGAAUUUCUUUCAUCUCAAGUCCUAUUUUGACUACUGUGCUUCCUCUCUCCUCAUCACUAUUACAACUAAUAAGUGUUUAUGUCUGAUGCAGUGUGAACCAUGCUUAGGUCAGAGAAGCUGCUGCCUCUGUGUGCAAUCCAUCAUGCAAAGUCAUUUCCCCUGAGAUAAACACUGAAAUAAUGGGGGGAAAAUAGAUAAAGUGAGCAAAAAAAGCCAGCCAGCUGACAAAAAUGGGGGUUUUGACUGAUAGCUGGGAGAGGGUGAGACUGCUCUGACCUAAACACUCCAAACAACAAACAAAUAAUUAAAAAGUAACUAAACAAAGAUAAAUGUCCUGGUUGCUCUGUGUCAAAUUCCACAUGUCCCAGACCCACCCUCUGCAGUGACUCAGGCUCUGCCUGACUUUGCUCAACCAGUGGCUUCCAGAACGAAACAUAACAAGGACUAUUAUGCAUAAGAAUCCUUAUAAAAAUAAGGAUUUAAUUGCUGUAAUUGCUUAAGCAAUGAGUUGUCAAGUGCUCAGUGCAGACUGCAAUGCAGGAGAACUGGAGAAAUCCAAUUAACAGGUGAAUAGUGGCUGGGAACCUCAGUUCCUCUUCCCAAAGCAGGACAGGAGCUCUUUAUGGUGCAUCCAUAGGAUUGGAAUUGAUUUGAUUAUUUAUUGAGCUUGUGAGGGCAUCCACAGUGAAUUUCCUUGCAACAGUUCUGAACUCUGAGGAGAAGGAGGGGAGGGAUCAGGUGGAAAUAGGCUGGGAGAAAAAGGUUCAGGCUCUUUUAUGACAAGGUACAUCCUGCAGCACAGAUGAACUGAACAGCCACUCCCUGGACAUCUGGAAAUUUGGCAAAUUUUCCUCACCACUUGGCCCAAAAGGUGUGGGAGUCCCACAAAAGCACCUUCACACUCCAGCCAGAGCAUCCUCUCUUAAUUAAGGUUAAACCCAAGAGUGUCACAGCUGAAAUGCCACAGGUAACUCUUCUCUACAAACCUGGCACUGGAAAGGACUUUGUAGAUCAGCCUCAGUUUCUCCUGAGGAUCCUGGUCCCAGAAGGAUUCUCAUUCCAGAGGCAAAGGCAGUGGCUGCUCCCUGACCCCACUGCCUGCUCUGGCAGCUGGACAGAGCCUCUCUGGGCUGGAGCUGCAGCCACCAGGUCACUGCACAGCUGACAGGUAAAAAUAGGUGCCUGGAGAUAACAAGGCACCACAUCUUAUUAUCAAUUCCCUGGGAAAGCCAACAUCCCUCUCUCUUUCCUCUCCAAAGGAUGCUUUAUUAUAAUUACAUAUCACUUUAUUAGGCAGCUGAAGCAAAGAGCACAUUUGAUGCUAAUGAAGUGCUGCUGUGGUUGAGGCUGUCACUAUUUUUGGAGCUGAACAUCUCCAGCACUUUUCAUUGGGUGAUGGAGCUUUGGAUGUCUCUGGCUUCUUCUGUGGGGGCUGCCCAGGAAAAAGCAGUGACUCAGCGAGCCCAGCUGCAGAACUGUUCACAUGGCAUGGGAAAUGCUGGGGACAGCCAACACACACAAAGGCUCUUUAUGUGCUGCAAGUUGUGCUCAGGUAGGGGCCAGCAUUAUCUGGAUUAAAAAAAAAAUCCCUCUGUGCUGGUCACCUGCACAGGCCUCGUUUUUCCUGUUUUCCAUCCCUCACCCUGCAGCUUUUCAAAGAAGGCAGAUUGCACAGAACUCGGGGAAAAUAUUUGGGAGGUUGGAGACAGACACAUCACAGCUGAUCACUGGCUGCCUCUCCUUUUGGAAUAAGAGGGGUUUGUCAUCUCCCUUUCCUGCAGCAAAGCCUGAGGAGCUGCUUGGCCUCAGGAAGGCAGGAUUUGGUGUUCCAGUUUCUCCUGCUCCCACAUCCCUUGGUGUGACACUGGCAUCCAGCUGGGCCAGUGACUCAGCUCAGCCAUUGACAGGAGCAGAUUCCUCCCUCCCUUCCUCCCCACCUGGCGGGGUGUGUUACUGUCAGCACCUCAUCACACAGGUGACAGGAACAGGGAAUGGCAGCACUGCUCCAGACCAGCAUCUCCUGAUAACAACUCCCAUUUCCAAGUCACUUCCUGACAGCACACUGGCAGCCAAAGCCUCCCCUCCCAGCAAACAAGGUUAAUGACUCCAGGUGUCUUCUGAUCCACGAAGCAGGAAUGUGUCAGAGCAACCAGGAAUUCCACAGAACACCAUUGGGUCUCCACACCCGACUGGUUUUGGGGCUAUUUUGUUACUGCCACUUCCCCAUUCUCAGAGGGAAGGGAUUUUGUUACUGCAACUUCUCUCCCAGAGGGAAGGGAAUGACUGGACAUUAAUGAGUCCUGCAGUUUUCCCUCAAGAGCACAAGGGUGUGACUGAAUUUACAGUAUCACCUGCUCAUACAAACUCUUCUCAUUCUCCUUGCUAGAUGGGGGCUUUCCCCAUUUUGUUGUUCCCACACACGUUUUUUAAUUUAAGUGAACUUUCUAAGCAUAUUUGGUUAAGGUUUUUCUUCGACCUACCUUAGGAGUAGCAGAGAAAUGUGUACAACCCUUCUGUAUCUUUUUAGAGCUGAUUUAUAACAGGCCAUUCCCACAAUUGCAGGAGAAACUCCCUUUAACUUAAAAACCUGUGAGUAAUCCCAUUAUCCAGCAAAGCACACAUAAGAGAUGUAACCAAUAACAGACAAAAUUCCAGUGUCAGGGAAAAUAAAGAACUCGGGGCAGAACACAGCACAGAGCAAGAGACUCCUCCCAGCCAGGCCAGGAGCUGUGCAGGGGACACAGCCAGCUCACUGCCUCCCUCUGCUGAGCCUCGGUGAUACUUCAGAGAAUUCCAGGCUGCUUUGGCUUGGAAGGGACCUUACAGCUCAUCCUGUCCCAACCCUGCCACUUCCACCACCCCAGGAUGCUCCAAGCCCCAUCCAAACUGACCCUGAACACCUCCAGGGAUCCAGGGGCAGCCACAGGGAUCCUCUGGGCACCUGUGCCAGGACCUCAGCACCCUCACAGGGUACAAUUCCUUCCCAAUAUCCCAUCAAACCCUGCCUCUGGCAGAGGGAAGCCAUUCCCUGGGUCCUGUCACUCCAGGCCUUGUCCCAAGCACCUUUCCAGAUCUCCUGGAGCCUCUCUGGACACUGCAAAGGGCUUUAAGGUCUCCCUGGAACCUUCCCUUCUCCAGGCUGACAUCCCUCAGCUCUCCCAGCCUGGUUAGCUACAGGAAGAUGGUAGGAGUGCCCAGUGCUGUCACUUGACACAUUUAACACCCACCAGCACCAGACUGCAGCCCCCUGGUGCAAACCAGGCACUCCACAGGUGUCCAAGUUCUGCCACUGCCUCUGGAGCCCUCCAAGCCCAAUUCCUCUUUCCCACUAAACAUGGCUUCCACCUCAGGGAGGGCUGUACUGCUCUCUUCCCCAUCCUGUUUUCAUGGAGCCUGGAUGAAUUUGUUGAAAUCUCUCUUUCUCAUCAAGUCUAACCCUGUUGGCUACCUCGGCUCAGAAGUGCUGGGCAGACAGAUGGUGCAGUUACAUAAACCUGGAUUCCUGCAGAGGUCUGGCUAAGGAAGAGCUCCAGAGUGCCAGACGUGGUCAACUGUACAUC